rnacentral:rRNA from 2 species
UUAAGCGACUAAGCGUACACGGUGGAUGCCCUGGCAGUCAGAGGCGAUGAAGGACGUGCUAAUCUGCGAUAAGCGUCGGUAAGGUGAUAUGAACCGUUAUAACCGGCGAUUUCCGAAUGGGGAAACCCAGUGUGAUUCGUCACACUAUCAUUACGUGAAUACAUAGCGUAAUGAAGCGAACCGGGGGAACUGAAACAUCUAAGUACCCCGAGGAAAAGAAAUCAACCGAGAUUCCCCCAGUAGCGGCGAGCGAACGGGGAGCAGCCCAGAGUCUGAAUCAGCUUGUGUGUUAGUGGAACGGUCUGGAAAGUCCGACGGUACAGGGUGAUAGUCCCGUACACCAAAAUGCACAGGUUGUGAACUCGAAGAGUAGGGCGGGACACGUGGUAUCCUGUCUGAAUAUGGGGGGACCAUCCUCCAAGGCUAAAUACUCCUGACUGACCGAUAGUGAACCAGUACCGUGAGGGAAAGGCGAAAAGAACCCCGGCGAGGGGAGUGAAAAAGAACCUGAAACCGUGUACGUACAAGCAGUGGGAGCCUCUUUAUGGGGUGACUGCGUACCUUUUGUAUAAUGGGUCAGCGACUUAUAUUCUGUAGCAAGGUUAACCGUAUAGGGGAGCCGAAGGGAAACCGAGUCUUAACUGGGCGUUAAGUUGCAGGGUAUAGACCCGAAACCCGGUGAUCUAGCCAUGGGCAGGUUGAAGGUUGGGUAACACUAACUGGAGGACCGAACCGACUAAUGUUGAAAAAUUAGCGGAUGACUUGUGGCUGGGGGUGAAAGGCCAAUCAAACCGGGAGAUAGCUGGUUCUCCCCGAAAGCUAUUUAGGUAGCGCCUCGUGAACUCAUCUUCGGGGGUAGAGCACUGUUUCGGCUAGGGGGUCAUCCCGACUUACCAACCCGAUGCAAACUGCGAAUACCGAAGAAUGUUAUCACGGGAGACACACGGCGGGUGCUAACGUCCGUCGUGAAGAGGGAAACAACCCAGACCGCCAGCUAAGGUCCCAAAGUCAUGGUUAAGUGGGAAACGAUGUGGGAAGGCACAGACAGCCAGGAUGUUGGCUUAGAAGCAGCCAUCAUUUAAAGAAAGCGUAAUAGCUCACUGGUCGAGUCGGCCUGCGCGGAAGAUGUAACGGGGCUAAACCAUGCACCGAAGCUGCGGCAGCGACACUAUGUGUUGUUGGGUAGGGGAGCGUUCUGUAAGCCGUUGAAGGUGGCCUGUGAGGGUUGCUGGAGGUAUCAGAAGUGCGAAUGCUGACAUAAGUAACGAUAAUGCGGGUGAAAAACCCGCACGCCGGAAGACCAAGGGUUCCUGUCCAACGUUAAUCGGGGCAGGGUGAGUCGACCCCUAAGGCGAGGCCGAAAGGCGUAGUCGAUGGGAAACAGGUUAAUAUUCCUGUACUUGGUGUUACUGCGAAGGGGGGACGGAGAAGGCUAUGUUAGCCGGGCGACGGUUGUCCCGGUUUAAGCAUGUAGGCGGAGGUUCCAGGUAAAUCCGGUACCUUUUAACGCUGAGGUGUGAUGACGAGGCACUACGGUGCUGAAGUAACAAAUGCCCUGCUUCCAGGAAAAGCCUCUAAGCAUCAGGUAACACGAAAUCGUACCCCAAACCGACACAGGUGGUCAGGUAGAGAAUACCAAGGCGCUUGAGAGAACUCGGGUGAAGGAACUAGGCAAAAUGGUGCCGUAACUUCGGGAGAAGGCACGCUGAUAUGUAGGUGAAGCGGUUUACCCGUGGAGCUGAAAUCAGUCGAAGAUACCAGCUGGCUGCAACUGUUUAUUAAAAACACAGCACUGUGCAAACACGAAAGUGGACGUAUACGGUGUGACGCCUGCCCGGUGCCGGAAGGUUAAUUGAUGGGGUUAUCCGUAAGGAGAAGCUCUUGAUCGAAGCCCCGGUAAACGGCGGCCGUAACUAUAACGGUCCUAAGGUAGCGAAAUUCCUUGUCGGGUAAGUUCCGACCUGCACGAAUGGCGUAAUGAUGGCCAGGCUGUCUCCACCCGAGACUCAGUGAAAUUGAACUCGCUGUGAAGAUGCAGUGUACCCGCGGCAAGACGGAAAGACCCCGUGAACCUUUACUAUAGCUUGACACUGAACACUGGUCCUUGAUGUGUAGGAUAGGUGGGAGGCUUUGAAGUGUGGACGCCAGUCUGCAUGGAGCCAUCCUUGAAAUACCACCCUUUAAUGGCUGGUGUUCUAACGUGGACCCGUUACCCGGGUUGCGGACAGUGUCUGGUGGGUAGUUUGACUGGGGCGGUCUCCUCCUAAAGAGUAACGGAGGAGCACGAAGGUUAGCUAAUCCUGGUCGGACAUCAGGAGGUUAGUGCAAAGGCAUAAGCUAGCUUGACUGCGAGAGUGACGGCUCGAGCAGGUGCGAAAGCAGGUCUUAGUGAUCCGGUGGUUCUGAAUGGAAGGGCCAUCGCUCAACGGAUAAAAGGUACUCCGGGGAUAACAGGCUGAUACCGCCCAAGAGUUCAUAUCGACGGCGGUGUUUGGCACCUCGAUGUCGGCUCAUCACAUCCUGGGGCUGAAGUAGGUCCCAAGGGUAUGGCUGUUCGCCAUUUAAAGUGGUACGCGAGCUGGGUUUAGAACGUCGUGAGACAGUUCGGUCCCUAUCUGCCGUGGGCGCUGGAGAAUUGAGGGGGGCUGCUCCUAGUACGAGAGGACCGGAGUGGACGCAUCACUGGUGUUCGGGUUGUCAUGCCAAUGGCAUUGCCCGGUAGCUAAAUGCGGAAGAGAUAAGUGCUGAAAGCAUCUAAGCACGAAACUUGCCCCGAGAUGAGUUCUCCCUGAGACUAUAAGUCUCCUGAAGGAACGUUAAAGACGAUGACGUUGAUAGGUCGGGUGUGUAAGUGUAGCGAUACAUUGAGCUAACCGAUACUAAUGAACCGUGAGGCUUAACCUU